UCCGUAGGCAGCGAGCGUUGUUCGGAAUUACUGGGCGUAAAGAGUGUGUAGGCGGUUCUCUAAGUUCGGUGUGAAAUCUCCUGGCUCAACUGGGAGGGUGCGCCGGAAACUGGAGUGCUUGAGCGUGGGAGAGGAAAGCGGAAUUCCUGGUGUAGCGGUGAAAUGCGUAGAUAUCAGGAGGAACACCUGUGGUGUAGACGGCUUUCUGGACCAUAGCUGACGCUGAGACACGAAAGCGUGGGUAGCAAACAGG
rnacentral:rRNA from 1 species